rnacentral:lncRNA from 1 species
CACAUCCUGGCAACGGUACUACCCUGGGUUCCGGGCAGGGGUGGAACUGGAUUCUGCCUGGAUGGGGAUCGGAUGGGGGUGGAGGUUUGAUUUGGGAAGCAGAGCACAGCAGCCCAAAUUUGUUGUAAUGGCGGCGGCUACAGACUUGGCAUAUGGCAUAAGACACACAGAGAGAGCCUUGCUGGUGUAGCUGAGAUUUACGACCCUCAUCCAACCAAACCAUUUCAGAUUCUUGGGGCUCAGAGCUCUCAUCGGAAAGACAUCUAUUCUGGGAGCAGGUACCCUUGUGACUAUGAAGAUUGACAAAAAGUUGACGGCAACGAUGAAUUCUCUUCCAGAACUUACAUCCCAGAAGGCCCUCCCCUACUUCGGGUCUCCCUAGAGAGUGGAGAGACCUGCUGCCCUUGAAGAAGCAAACAGCCAUGUUGUGAGCUGCCUAAGCCUCUAGGUCUUGAGGGAAGCUUACAGUUAAGAGCCAGCAAAA